GUCACCUGCACCACACAGCUCAGCAAAUGUGCUGAGAGUGCCUCAGUCCCUCUCUCCAUGUCCCUGACAAGGAUGUUGAACAGCCCUGGUCCCAGUACAGACCCCUGGGGAUGACACUCCUCACUGGCCCCCACCUGGACAUUGAGCCACUGACCACAGCUCUUUAGGUGCCACCAGCCAGCAAAUUCCUCAUGCACCAUGAGGAAUGUUGUCUGACAAAUCCAGCUUUCUUCAGUUUAGAGACAAGGAUCUUGUGUGGGACGGUGUCAAAUGCUUUGCACAAGUUCAGGUCCAUGGUGUCAAGUCCUUCACUUAUCCACCAGUGCUGUAACCCCCCUCACAAAAGGCCACCAUAUUAGUCAGGCAUGAGUUGUCCUCGGAAAAACAAACCUGUUUUUUCACAAAACAAGAGCUCCAUGGGGGACACUGCAAGGAGUGACUCACAGAGUGUGAUAUGUUUGCCCAUCCUGAAGCUGAACAUGCAAAUAUCUGUUCCCACAGCAGCCAGAGGAAUAGCAAGGAUGCCAGUCUGUGGCCUCUCUUCUGUCAGCACAGGACAAAACUAUUUCAGGAAGCUCUCAUCAGUGUAUGAUGCCACAAAGACAAAUGAAGGGAGAAAGAGUGGGGUGAGGGAAGCCAAGGAGUACCAGUAAAAGGAAGAAGCAGUUUAUAGAGCAAAUAAAAAGCUGUGCAGACACAAUUAGUCUUCCCACAGUACUGCUCGUGUUCCAACAUAUUCAAGGAUGAUACAGGGACUGCUGAAGGAUGAAGAGAAAUCUGUUGCAAAGAUGCGUUAGAGAGAAAGGGAAUGGAGAAAAGGAAGAGAAUAAGGAAAAGAAAAAGAAGAGAGGAAGGGCAAGGAGGUAUAUAGCUACUGGACGUGCGGAUGACAAAGUCCCUCGAAGUCCGGUCGACGAAGAGGCCUAUCGUCUUCAUGUCAGGGGAGAUCUCAAAGGGAUGUAUCAUCUUUAAACAAUGAACAAUGUAUUGGAUGAAAAUUACCCAAAUACUACACUGGAGAGGAAUUCAGGUUGCCAGUUCUACCAGAGGACCAGAAAGAAGGAAAGAAACCUCUGUUUGUACCAUAUAAAAGCAGUCGGUUUUUCUUCAUGCUGCAAGCAAUAUGUCUGACCCUGGAGAGUGAAUGUUCCAAAGUCUGGCAAUCAUAUCUGUAGUCCUGAAAAAUCCCAAAGAAUUUCCAACAUGGGAACUACCUGGAAAUUUCCUUUUACUUGAGAAUUUUACUUUUUAUUCCUAGCACUUUGCUGUGGAUUGCUUAGGUUUAAAGCAGUGCUGAACAGCAGCAUUGCUCUCUGACACUUGAAAGGCUGUUCUGCCUUCAGCAUACACUUGUAAUCCCCAUUAAUGUCAGUGGAACUCAUAGAUGCAAAACUGGACAUUUUGGAAUGCACCACCGGGGCCAGUCUUCAAAUGGAUGAGAGGUGGAAAGACAAGAGCCACUCACAGAGGCAGGAGGAACUUCAGGAGACAAAUAUUAAUUCCCCAUUUUAUGCCUAUUUUAUGUUCUGCAUUUCCUGAGCUCAAACCUGUGAAAUACAAGGCUGUUUUAAUAUCAGGGUGCUGAGAGCAUUCAGCAGCUUGCAGAAUUGAACCAUCUGAUUUUUCUGUGUGUCUGCAUAUGACUGAAAUCAUAUGUUUGUUUGGUUUUCAGAAACUAUGUGUAUGGAAAAUAAUUGUAAAGUGCUUUUUCUCUCUCUUAAGAAUAACUUGACUUGCUGUCUAAACCUGGCACAUAUUAUUAUUCCAACAAGUCCAACAUGCAAGCACAUAUGUAACAUUUAUAAAAACAAUGCUUGAAAAUAUCCAUCCUCACUAGAGGUUUGCCCCCAAACAUCUUUACCACAUUCCAAAAUGUAAAUAGUCGGGCAUCUAUACAUUGUGUCAGUUGUAAAUCAAACAGGUAAACAUAUAGCCUCACACUUUCAGGUUUAGAAAACAGCUUUUCUUUCUCUUCUGCUGUCAGUGAGGCUAUUCCUGCUGCCACCCCAG